AGCGAACGUUUGCGGCGGGCUUAACACAUGCAAGUCGAACGAGAAUCCCUUCGGGGAGGAAAGUGGCGCACGGGUGCGUAACACGUGGAUAACCAACCCAUUGGUUUGGGACAACACCGGGAAACUGGUGCUAAUACCAGAUGUGUCGCAGCUGUCUUCAGGCGGUUGCGAGAAAGGCCCGCAAGGGUCGCCAACGGACGGGUCCGCGUCCCAUCAGCUAGUUGGUGAGGUAAUGGCUCACCAAGGCAAAGACGGGUAGCUGGUCUGAGAGGAUGAUCAGCCACACUGGAACUGAGACACGGUCCAGACUCCUACGGGAGGCAGCAGUGGGGAAUAUUGCGCAAUGGGCGAAAGCCUGACGCAGCCACGCCGCGUGAGUGAAGAAGGCCUCGG
rnacentral:rRNA from 1 species